UACGAAGGGGGCUAGCGUUGCUCGGAAUUACUGGGCGUAAAGCGCACGUAGGCGGUCUUUUAAGUCGGUGGUGAAAUCCUGGAGCUCAACUCCAGAACUGCCUUCGAUACUGGAAGACUUGAGUCCGGGAGAGGUGAGUGGAACUGCGAGUGUAGAGGUGAAAUUCGUAGAUAUUCGCAAGAACACCAGUGGCGAAGGCGACACACUGGCCCGUUACUGACGCUGAGGCGCGAAAGCGUGGGGAGCAAACAGG
rnacentral:rRNA from 1 species